rnacentral:lncRNA from 1 species
UGUGGUUGCGGGGUUUGAUUCUUGAUUUUGUGUUUGGGUGGGUGGUAUGAAUGGAUUGCGACGUUGGAUGGUUGGUUGUUGGGUGGUUGGCAUGAACGGGUUGCGAUGUUGGGUGUUUGGUUGUUGUGUGUAUGUGGUUGAUUGAUGUUGUGUGGUUGGUUGUUGGGUUUGGGUGGGUUCACAUUGGUGUUGGGUGGUGAAUUGUUG